AGAGUUUGAUCCUGGCUCAGAGCGAACGCUGGCGGCGUGCUUAACACAUGCAAGUCGAGUGCGCGUCCGUAGCAAUACGGAUGGCGCACGGCGCACGGGUGCGUAACACGUGGGCAAUCUGCCCUCGGAUGGGGGAUAACCCCGCGAAAGCGGGGCUAAUACCGCAUGACAUUCCGGCGACUCCGGUCGCUGGACUCAAA
rnacentral:rRNA from 1 species